UGGGGCUUUUUGAAAGAAUGUUUUGAUUUAAGUGUGAGAAAUGUCCCAUUAGAUUUUACUCCAUGUUCUAGUGAUUCAAAAAUUCUUAGUGAAAUGUAAUGUAUUUUCAGACAGGUUUUGCAAAUAAAUUGGAACUAAAUAUUUUAAAGCCUUCUUUCUCUCUCCCCAGGAGCAUAGCCAGCACUCUGAGAUAUCCUGGAAGAAAGGACUGCUCUGCAAGACUGCAUCCAAGCUUCCAGCAGCAGCCCGUACAGCUCUCGCUCUGUCCCACUCCCAAACUCCAUGAGAUGGAAGUGACAAGGAUAUGAUGUUCCAGCCACCCUCUCCCCUGGCUGAGCUUGAACCAGAAGCAACUGGAUGCAGUCUGCAGCUGGGCUCUUAACUUCCAUGGAGCAAUGCAAGUCAUGAAAUCCUCCUCACAAGACAUUAUGAAAAGCAACUCUUCCAAGGUUUUAUUCUCUGCUCAUGGAUAACUGCCCACAUAUCCUCACCCUCGAAAGUGGUGCCUGUCAGUGUCAUAUUUCCAUCUGAAGCAGCUCCCAGCCCAGAUUAGCUCUCCUAAAGAUGCCACAAGGAAUGUUUGGCGUGAAAGUGGAAUUCCCCCAGCACAUUAAUGGGGAGGCCACUUCUUG
rnacentral:lncRNA from 1 species